AGCGAACGCUGGCGGCAGGCCUAACACAUGCAAGUCGAACGAACCUUUCGGGGUUAGUGGCGGACGGGUGAGUAACACGUGGGAACGUGCCUUUAAGUUCGGAAUAACUCAGGGAAACUUGUGCUAAUACCGAAUGUGCCCUUCGGGGGAAAGAUUUAUCGCCUUUAGAGCGGCCCGCGUCUGAUUAGCUAGUUGGUUGAGGUAAUGGCUCACCAAGGCGACGAUCAGUAGCUGGUCUGAGAGGAUGAUCAGCCACAUUGGGACUGAGACACGGCCCAAACUCCUACGGGAGGCAGCAGUGGGGAAUCUUGCGCAAUGGGCGAAAGCCUGACGCAGCCAUGCCGCGUGAAUGAUGAAGGUCUUAGGAUUGUAAAAUUCUUUCACCGGGGACGAUAAUGACGGUACCCGGAGAAGAGGCCCCGGCUAACUUCGU
rnacentral:rRNA from 1 species